rnacentral:rRNA from 1 species
AUUGAACGCUGGCGGCAGGCCUAACACAUGCAAGUCGAACGGUAACAGGAAACAGCUUGCUGUUUCGCUGACGAGUGGCGGACGGGUGAGUAAUGUCUGGGAAACUGCCUGAUGGAGGGGGAUAACUACUGGAAACGGUAGCUAAUACCGCAUAACGUCGCAAGACCAAAGAGGGGGACCUUCGGGCCUCUUGCCAUCGGAUGUGCCCAGAUGGGAUUAGCUAGUAGGUGGGGUAACGGCUCACCUAGGCGACGAUCCCUAGCUGGUCUGAGAGGAUGACCAGCCACACUGGAACUGAGACACGGUCCAGACUCCUACGGGAGGCAGCAGUGGGGAAUAUUGCACAAUGGGCGCAAGCCUGAUGCAGCCAUGCCGCGUGUAUGAAGAAGGCCUUCGGGUUGUAAAGUACCUUCAGCGGGGAGGAAGGGAGUAAAGUUAAUACCUUGACUCAUUGACGUUACCCGCAGAAGAAGCACCGGCUAACUCCGUG